UUGUUGCUGCUGUUAAGGAGUAAAGAUUAUUAUGCACUGGUAGCACACACUCUUGAGGACAUGCAAUGGAUUCUAAACAACUUCUUGCGUGCAUCAAAGGCUUUUGGUCUGACCAUCAACAUCAAGAAAACUGAGCUUGUCCAUCAGCCCAUCCGUGACCAUCCUUCCACUCU